AAAAAAGGUAAAACAAUUAUUAUUGUCCAGGUCAUAUUUGAUAACUGUUGUUAAUUGAUAACAUAUUACAGGGACACAGUAAAAAGACACAACAUUUAGACCCUUUGAAAGAGAAAUGUUUGCAAUGGAUAUUAAUAAAUUCUAGCCAAUUUGUACGAUGUACAAUGCAGGCAAUAUUUCUGCCUCCUAACGCACUAUUCGCGUAAAAGAAGAUGUGGGUAUUGUAUUUAUAGAACAGAUUUAUUAUUAGUUGGCUAGUGUGUUAGUAGGAUAGCCAUUGGUAGUUAUAAAGUAUGAAGUCGUCAGGUAUUAAUAAUAGGAAUUGAUCAAAGCUUAUACAUUUAUUGUGAAUUUAAGUAGUUAGUUUUGGUUGUUUAAUAAACGAAUUAAUGUGC